ACGGCCCAAAGCGUGAUUAAAUUAUAUUAAACCUAAUAGAAAUGAAAAUUAACUUAACUGUCGUACGUAACCGUUAAACGUAAAACCAAAAACGAAAGUUAUUCUAAUAAAAAAAUUACUUGAAACCACGACCGCUAAGAAACAAACUAGGAUUAGAUACCCUACUAUGCUUAGCUUUAAACUUUGAUAUUUCCGCCAGAUUACUACGAGCCACAGCUUAAAACUCAAAGGACUUGGCGGUGCUCUACACCCCCCUAGAGGAGCCUGUUCUAUAAUCGAUAAUCCUCGCUAAACCUUACCACCUAUUGCCAAUACCGCCUAUAUACCACCGUCCUCAGCUUACCCUUUAAAGGCUAAACAGUAAGCAUAAUAAUAAACAUAAAAACGUCAGGUCAAGGUGUAGCGAAUUAAGUGGAAAGAAAUGGGCUACAUUUUCUUAUAAGAAAAUACAAAAGGUAAAAUGAAAUAUUACCUGAAGGUGGAUUUAGCAGUAAAAAGAAAAUAGAGUGUUCUUUUUAAAUUGGCCCUAGAGCGCGCACACACCGCCCGUCACCCUCAUCAAAAAUACGAAAAGAAAAUAACAUAAAAUUUUUUGAAGAAGAGGAAAGUCGUAACAUGGUAAGUAUACUGGAAAGUGUACUUGGAUAA
rnacentral:rRNA from 1 species